ACUAGGUAACUCUGCUGCGAUGUAUCUUUGUGCGACUUGUGAAUUCAUCGUUGGAGAAUAUAGGUGGAUGUGUAUCAAAUUUGACUGAAAGAUAAAAAUAAAGUCAACUCCUCGGUAAUGUGAGUUUCAACGACAGGUGACAUCUUUUGCUCUGUUAGACAAUGCGAGAAACUACUGAAGAGAUGUUCAUCGUCGUCACUAACCAUAUACUUUUCUAGGCAGACUUUUGUUAAUAUCGCGGCUCUAGAAUUUAUUUAUAAGAACAGAGAAACCCUUGAAAGCGAAUGUGAGAGCUCAAAUCUCCACCACUGGAUUGAUUUGGUAUUUGGUUGCAAGCAGCAGGGCUAACCAGCAGUUGAUGUAAGCUUUAACUUCAAAUAAUUGUUAAACCAGUUGCAGGUUUUGAAUUUCACUGAAUCUUUGGAGAUAUUGUCAGACAGGCAACAAACAUUUUUUAUUAUUUGACAUAUGAAAGGGUUGUGGAUACCAUGGAUGAUGAGUUGCAAAGGUUGGCAAUGUUAAUGUGCUGGACUUAAAAUAUUUUCCUUGUGAACCAGGGCCUCACCACGUCCGUUAAGAAAUGGGUGACCACCUAGUUGCAAUCCGGUGGGAACUUCACCUUCUCUGGCUCACAGGUAAGUUUUAUAGCAAUAACAAGGUAGAGCAUUAUGAUUAGUUAGUCAGCUUUGAAGUCGUUUUUAACCUUCUUGUAGGAUCCGUUUUUGGUUCUGAUGUCCGUCCUUCCUUGGAAAAUUGGGAGCCUUUUGGCUGAAAAUAUUGAGCUUGCAGCACAAUGCUUUGGAACAUUAUCAACAUUUGAAUGGUACCUGUGAAAACAACUUUCAAUUUAUAUGGCUACCUAAUGGCAGAAUGGAGCGUUAGACAACAUAAGAAUUGUCUAAUUGGGUGCUUAUAGUAUUUUUCUGUUGACAAAGCGAUUUGUUAAAAAAUGGUAAAACAUUCCAGUUGAUAUGUUAGAGUCAUAAUCGGAAGAAUAACAAUAUACCUCUUUGUUCACGUUGGGCCCGGGCGAAGCCCGAGCUACCCCUACUAGUAGAAAGAAAUAGACUAUCGUUGGUUGAAAUUCUGUUCAUAUAUUCUUUUUAUGUUAGGAGAAGGGUCCAACCUCGUUGUGAACUAAAGUAAAGGGAAGCAAAAAUAUGCGGAAAUCUGAACCGCGUAUGAAUAUGACAAUGUAGUAAUUGAUAUAUUAGAGACAUUUCUAUAGGUUGCAAAUCAAAACUUUACGUAGGAAAACAUGUUGUCUUUAUACAGACAAAUGAAGGUAGGUUAAAAUAAAAAUAGUAAAAUCAAAUACAUCUCAGAAAGAUCUGUGGAGACCUAAUGUGUUUUUCUUUGUUGUACUAUUUUUUCAGUCACGAAAUUAAUGGCAAACCCCACUUCUUAGGAGCUUGUACUCCGUAUUUUCUAUUCAACAAACUUAUAGGACGAGUACCACCCCAAAUUUAAGAUAGAAGAGACAUUAGUAUAUCGUCACAGGUUUAAAAUAUUUCACGAAACUAAUAAAAUUAUACCUAAUAUAUAUUAUUUAUGUAGUACCUAUUAAAACAAACAUCUAAAAGAGAAAAAAAAAUUAAAAUGGUCUAGUUAAUUUUCUUCACUUCAAAAAUUAUUUAAGCUGAUCGUGCAGAUAAAUGAUAUUAUUCUCUCUAUUUUAAUAUAUCUGGCAUUCGAAUUUCAAGGAUCAAACAAUUUAUUCUUUGAUCAUAAAUUUUUUGUAUGGCUUUUAAAUAUGUUAAAUAAUUAAUUAUUAUAUUUUAUAUUAUGUUUUAUAUACUUUUUAAAUAUAUAAAUUUUAUUAUUAAAUAAUUAUAUUUAAAUUCACAAUUAAAAUUUAGAAGUUUGAUACGAGAAAUUGUUGGGAUCGACUGGGUUUGUUGCCGAAAAAAAAAGGGUUUGUUGUUGUUGAUACUCGAAAUUGAAACAAUUGACGAAAUGAGUAAUAUUAGCUACCGGAACAUAUUAAUCCCAACGAGGAGCUGAUAUAUAGUACGUAUAUAUUAUUUUUCAACCGCUGAACAGUUGAUAUAAAUCCAUAAAAAACAUGCGUAUCUAGACAACUACUGCAAACGUGUUAAAACCUCAGCAAUCCUACAUCUCACGACUCUCCACGCGUACAGUUACAUUAUCUUCGUGGCAUCACUUGGUUCUCCAUCCAACUCCUAUAUAAACCCUUACAAAUUCGACUUCUUCUCUCAUCUUGUAACAACAGCAACAACGAAAGUACGCAACGAGGAACAAAGACAAUCUUAUCUUAUCAGAGAAAAGAAAGGAAGAAAAUGCAGUCAGCAAAGGACGCAGCAGCCUCAGCAAAGGCUGGCAUGGAGAAAACCAAAGCCACUGUUCAAGAAAAGGUUCCCUACACUUUUCUUUAUUUUGAUAUUGCCAUUAUUCAGGUGUAUUUAUUAGUUAUAGUGGACGGAGUAUUAAGUUUUAAACUUAUAAUUGCUAAAGUAUAAUGUAUUCAAUGAACGUUUUAAAAUCUGAAUUAUUGAACUUAAUUAUAUAUCUAAUAGUACAAAGUUUUGGUUUCUUAAAAAUGAGCAGGCGGAGAGGAUGACUACUAGGGAUCCACUGAAGAAAGAAAUGGCGACGGACAAGAAAGAGGACAAGAAAGCAGCAGCAGAGCUGGAAAAGAGAGAGGCCAAAGAACACAAUGUAGCUGCAGGACAUGGAGUUCAACAUCCCCAUGUUGGUGGAGGAACUGGCACUGGUUAUGGGACUGGCUCUACCUUUUAGAAAAAUGAAGCUCUGGGUAUUCCCCCAACUUUCAUUAAUGUAAUAUGGCUGUUUUUUUUUUUUUUUUUUGUAUGGUUAAGAGGGGUUACUAUCCCGCUUGUAUGUGGAUGUUGGUGUUGGCUUUUAUGAUCGACGACACCAAAUUAUAUAAAUAAAGUGACCUUCCUGUGUCUUCGUCUAUAUUUUGUCUAUUAAUUCCUUCCUUGUGACUUAUGACUUUUGCCCUAUCCUCCUAUAAAUCUACGAGAUGGGCUUAAGCGGAUAAGAGUAAGAAUCUAGGUGCAUCUGGUAUCACGCACAUAUCUUCCUCGUAUACUAUGGUCACUAGCUAGAGCGAUACAUACAUACGUAUAUACAUAUACAUACAUAUUGUUACGGAAGUCAAAUAUUGUUACGGAAAUCAAAUGUAUAUAGUGUGAAUGAGUCACAAUUGCUAUACAAAAAAUUAUGACAGCCACCAAAUAAUAAAUAAGACAAUAAAGCAGCAAUAAAAUGACAGCUACCAAAUAAUAAAUUAAUUUUUACAAGUGAAAUAAUACUAAAGAGAGGAGAUACAAAUGCUUAAGAAGAUAAAAAAGGUAAAUGAGAGGUGUGUUUAAAUCCUAAACAUUAGGCCUAAGAAGAUAAGAAAGGUAUAUGAGAGGUGUGUUUAAAUCCUAAACAUUAGGCCUUAGGGAAAAAUUUCCAACAACUUUCUUCCUUCGCCGAUGUGGGUCAUUUUGGCAUUCAACAAAUCUCCAUCUUGGCAAAAAUUUCACUAUCUUCAAUUUUCUCUUAAUAACAAAUUUUGGUUGUGUCUUCAUCUUCAAUCUUUAGUGUUCAACAAUGUUGAUCAAAUCCAAACAAUGUUAAAACUUGACCGCAGUCACCACCUUUGUCAGCAUAUCAGCAGGAUUCUCCGUAGUGUGAAUUUUCUUCACCGUACUCCACCUUCUUCUAUGAUUUCUCGUACGAAAUGAUACCGAACAUCAAUGUGUUUCGUCCUUGCAUGAUAAACUUGGUUCUUCGCUAACUGAAUAGCACUUUGACUAUCACAAAAAAUUGUGAUACUUUUUUGUUCAAUGUCAAGCUCUUUUAACAACCCCUGAAGUCAAAUUGCCUCCUUCACAGCCUCUGUAAUAGUCAUGUACUCUGCCUCUGUUGUAGACAAAGCAACUGUUGACUGCAAAGUUGACUUCCAACUAACUGGUGCUCUUGCAAAGUAAACACAUAACCAGUAGUUGAUCUUUGUUUGUCCAGAUCACCCGCAAAAUCUGAGUCACAAUAUCCAACUACAGAUUGAUUGCCUUCCUGCUCAAAAACUAACCCAACAUCUACAGUAUUAUGAAUAUACCAUAGAAUCUAUUUCACCCAAUGCUCCUUUCCUGGAUUAUGCAUAUAUCUGCUAAUAACUCCAACAGCUUGUGAAAUGUCAGGUCUCGUACAGACCAUUGCAUACACCAAGCUACCAACAACAUUUGCAUAUGGUACCCUUGACAUAUACUCUUGUUCAGCUUCAUCUUUUGGCGACAUAGUAGUACUUAACUUAAAAUGGGGAGCAAGUGAAGUACUAACCGGCUUAGUCAUCUCAUCUAUGCCAAAGCGUUGUAGUACUCUCUUAAAAUAUUCUUUUUGAGAUAAACAGAGUUUCUUUGAACGUCUAUCUCUUAUUAUCUCCGUGCCAAGAAUUUUCUUUGCCUCACCCAGAUCCUUCAUCUCGAACCCCUUCUUAUGUUGAAUCUUCAACUUAUCAAUUUCUUCCGAAUUCUCGGAAGCUAUCAACAUAUCAUCAACAUAUAGGAGAAGAUACACAAAGGAACCAUCUUUAAGCUUGAGCAAAUGCACACAAAGAUCGUAUUUGCUUCUCUUGUACCCUUGCCGCAACAUAAACUCGUCAAAUCGUUUGUACCAUUGUCUAGAAGAUUGUUUCAAUCCAUACAAUGAUUUUUCAAGUUUGCACACUAUAUUUUCCUUUCCAGCAACUUUGAAUCCUUCUGGCUGAGUCAUGUAGAUUUCCUCCUCCAAGUUUCCAUGUAAAAACGCAGUUUUUACUUCCAUCUGAACUAGUUCCAAAUCCAACUAUACUACCAAAGCCAACAUAAUUCUAAUGAAGGAAUGUUUUACAACUGAAGAAAACACUUCAUUGUAAUCAAUUCCCUCCUUUUGAGCAUAUCCUUUGGCCAUCAAUAUUGCUUUGUAGCGAACAUCUUCUUGGUUAGGAGAUCCUUCUUUCUUUGCAAAUACCCAUUUGCACCCAAUUGCUUUCUUUCCCUUCGGGAGAUUGGUCAAUCUCCAUGUAUGAUUCUGAUGAAGAGACUGUAUUUCAUCAUUCAUGGCAAUCCUCCACAUAUCUUCUUCUGAACUUUGGACUGCGUCUUUAUAAGUGGUAGGAACAUCAUCAGCUAUAAUUGAGGUGGAACAAGCAACUGUCUCUAUAAGACGAACAUGUUUUGUUAUUGUCCUUUUUGGCCUGCUGGUUGCUAUUGAUUCAAGUUGUUGAUGAGCUUCCUGAGUUGGAAUCUCCCUCUCUACUGGCUCUUCUUCCAGAGGAUAAUCUUCAUUUAUUUCUUACUCUGCUUCUUGUGUAGGAAAAACAAAUUUUCCCUCAAACUCUACCUGCUUAGAAGCACCCUCAUUUUGUUUGGUAUCUUCUGUUACCUUAUUUACCAUAGCAGAUUCAUCAAAGGUAACAUCCCCACUGAAUAUUACUUUCUUUGUCAUAGGACACCAUAAGAGAUAUCCUUUGACUCCAGAAGUAAUCCCCAUAAAAAUAGUCUUCUUUUCCCUUGGAUCCAAUUUUGACUGUGUCACAUGAUAAUAUGCAGUUGAGCCAAAUACGUGCAAACAGUCAUAAUCUACAGCAUGCGCCAUCAAUAGCAGCAGAUGGUAAGCGAUUAAUGAGGUGACAUGCAUAUGUAAUUUUCUCAGCCCAAAAUUCUUUGUCCAAGCCAGCAUUGGACAACAUACACCGUACCUUCUCCAGCAAGGUUCGGUUCAUACGUUCUACCACUCCAUUUUGUUGUGGUGUACGUCUGACAGUGAAGUGUCGGACGAUGCCAUCAAUUUCACAGACCUUAUUGAAAUGAUCAUUUUUGUAUUCACCUCCAUUGUCUGUGCGAAUACACUUGAUCCUCCUACCUGUUUGAUUCUCCACCAUCGUCUUCCAUUUGAGAAAAAUUCCGAACACUUCAUCUUUUCUCUUCAUUGUAUAUACCCACACUCUUCGGAAAAAUCAUCAACAAAGGCUACUAAAUAGUGCUUCCCACCCAAUGAAGGUGUUUUGUAAGGACCCCAAACAUCAGUGUACAUAAUCCAAAAUGCCUUUAGUAUUAUGGAUCGUUGUACCAAAUUUAACCCUUGUCUGUUUUCUUUUGACACAAUGCUCGCAAAACUCCAAAUUGCAAACCUUUACUCCUUUUAACAACCUUGAUCUAAUAGAGUUUUCAAGGAUUUUCCUCCAGCAUGUCCCAAGCACAUGUGCCAUAGCUUGGUUGCUUCUGCCUUUUUUUCGUCAUUGGAUGUUACUGUCGCUGUCCCAAUAACUGUACUAUUGCGAUAAUGGUACAUGUUAUUGUUCUUCCGAUUGGCCUUAAUUACCACUAGUGCACCGUAGCAUACUCUCAUCACUCCAUUUUCUGCUAUGAUUUUGAACCCUUUGAUUCUAGGGCUCCCACAUAGAUGAGAUUUUUCUUCCAACCCGGUACAUAUCGAACAUCUAUUAAUGUUCUGAUCAUUCCAUCAUGGUUCUUUAAUCGUAUUGAACCAAUGCCAUAUGAGGUAAGAGGGCUGUUAUCCGUUGUGUGGACGACUCCGUGUUCUCCUUCUUGAAAAUUCACGAACCAGUCCCUAUUAGGACACAUAUGAUAGCUACAAGUCGAGUCCAUCAACCAUAUGUCUGAUGAUGUUGAUGGCUCUGUUGUAACUAAUGAGAAGUCUGAAUCAUCACCAUCAGCUACAUUUGAAUCCAUAAUGGCCUUUCCAUUGUUAUGUUUGGUCUUAUUCUUCAACUUCGGACAGUCUUUCAUCCAGUGUCCCUUUUCUCGAAAAAAGGCACAUUCAUCUUUGCUGGGUCUAGAUCUUGACUUGGAUCUUCCCUUCUUUGUCCUGUUUGAUUUUGAGGACGACCCCUCACAACCAGUGCUUCUCCUUCUUCGCCCUUCUGUUUUUCUCCCUUUCUUUGUUCAUAGCUGUACAAAGCCGAACAAACUUCUUUGAGAGAAAUUUCGUCAUUUCCAUGGAGUAGAGUAGUUUCAAGGUGCUCGUACUCAUCAGGAAGUGACCCCAACAACAUCAAGGCCAAGUCAGCAUCAUCAAAAGUUGUAUCCAUAUUUUGCAAAUCUGUGACCAACUUAUUGAAACUGGUGAUAUGUUCAUUCAUCGUGGUACUAGGAACAUAGGUGAAGCGAAACAGUCUCUUCUACAUGUACAAUUUAUUUUGACUGUUUUUCUUCAAAAUUUAUCCUCCAGUGCUUUUCAUAAUUUACUUGCAAAAGUUUCCUUUGUGUAUGGAUAUUUCUGCUCUCUAGCAAGGUAGGAUCGAACGGUACCGCAAGCAACAUGGUUGAUAAUUCUCCAAUCUUCUUCUCUAAUAACAUCUGGUCUUUUUUCUUCAAUGGCAAGAUCUAGCCUUUGUUAAAAAAGAACAUCUAGAACCUCACAUUGCCACAUCCCAAAAUGUCCUGACCCGUCAAAAAGUUCUACCGUAAAUUUUCCAUUUGACACAAUUCUUGUCAUAAGCGAAGAUGUCAAUGAUGACGUAUUGUUGACACUUGAUGUAGAUUCUUCUUGUUUAUUGUCUCCCAUCUUUGACACAAAUAUUAUUUAAUAGCUGACGACACAAAUCAAGAUUAUUUCCUUUCUGGUGUGGAAAAUCAGACUAAGCUGCAACCACAGAGCAUACUCAGACAGAACCUUGACUCAGCUACCAAGAUAAAUCUUUUCUGAUGUGGAAGAUCAGACUAUGUUGUAACCACAGAGCAUACUUAGACAGUACAUUAGCUCUGAUACCAAUUGUUACGGAAUCCAAAUGUAUAUAGUGUGAAUGAGUCACAACUACUAUACCAAAAAUUAUGACAUCACCAAAUAAUAAAUAAGACAAUAAAGCAACAAUAAAAGGAACACCAGAAUUUACGAGGUUCGGCCAAUUUUGCCUACUUCCUUGGACACAACCAAUAUUUUAUUCCACUCCAAAAAUACAAGUGAAAUAAUACUAAAGAGAGAAGAUACAAAUGCCUUAAGAAGAUAAGAAGGCAAAUGAGAGGUGUGUUUAAAUCCUAAAUAUUAGGUCUCCUUUUAUAGAGAAAUAUUUCCAACAACUUUCUUCCUUCACCGAUGUGGGACAUUUUGGCAUUCAACACACACAUAUAUAUAUGCACUAUUUUUUUCCCUCAAAGAUAUAUAUUAUAUUAUUACAUAGAAUAAACAAGUUGAGCAAAGGUGCUCAUAGCAUCCUUUACGAUCCAAACUUGAGAAAAAGUAAAUACUUCCAAUAACAAAGUAAUAGAAAACUUAGCUAAAUUAUGUGUUAGUUUGUUUAUAUUCCUAAGAAUAUAAAAAAAGUCUACAUGAUCAAACAAAGUCGAGGGCUUCCAAAUGUCUUCACAAGUUUUUCCAAAUGUUUUUUGUGAAUCAAAUAACACUCUUUGCAAGUAAUUUUUUUCCAAUUUUUUCGAAUCAUGUCAUCACUCUUCACUCUUUGUAUCUGAUAGGUUCUUCACCUUCUUCGAACCAUUCAUAAGUGCCCGUUCAAGCCCUUCUUAUAGCAAGUGUUAUCAUGACUUUUUCUACAAACUGGAUUGGGGAUCCAUGGGCAUGAAGAAGUUUCCCAAGGCUAUCCAUAACUGUAACAUCAAUUCUUGCACGUCUAGUAUCCACCUGUAAACCUGCAUCAGUAAAUAAUAAUAUGUCAUCUUGGUGGUUUGUUAGUUGAGCCGCUAAGCAAAUCCCAUUUUGAGGAGAAAUAGAUGAGCAAGUAUCUAAAAUAUCCUUAUAGUCAUGAUAAUCAAAUAGUGGCUUAGAAAUAAUAUCAUUCAGUUCAAACCUCUCAUUAUUAAAGUAUCAUGCAUUCCUAGCUUUCCAUAUUUUCCACAUAAUAUUAACACUUAAAUUUAAUAACUCUACUGACUUAGGAUAUUAUCUAGUAUUAGAAAUCAAAGUAUACCACCAAACGAAAAAAUCAUUAAUUUUGUCCAAAUCAUGCCACUUUAUAGGAGAAGAUAUACUAAGGAACCAUCUUUAAGCUUGCGCAAAUACACACAAUGAUCGUAUUUGCUUCUCUUGAACCCUUGCCGCAACAUAAACUCGUCAAAUCGCUUGUACCAUUGUCUAGAAGAUUGUUUCAAUCCGUACAAUGAUUUUUCCAGUUUGCACAUCAUAUUUUCCUUUCCAGCAACUUUGAAUCCUUUUGGCUGAGUCAUGUAGAUUUCCUCCUCCAAGUUUCCAUGUAAAAACGCAGUUUUUACAUCCAUCUGAACUAGUUCCAAAUCCAACUAUUACUACCAAAGCCAAACAUAAUUCUAAUGGAGGAAUGCUUUACAACUAGAGAAAACACUUCAUUGUAAUCAAUUCCCUCCUUUUGAGCAUAUCCUUUGGCCACCAAUCUUGCUUUGUAGAGAACAUCUUCUUGGUUAGGAAAUCCUUCUUUCUUUGCAAAUACUCAUUUGCACCCAAUUGCUUUCUUUCCCUUCGGGAGAUUGGCCAAUCUCCAUGUAUAAUUCUGAUGAAGGGACUGUAUUUCAUCAUUCAUGGCAAUCCUCCUCGUAUCUUCUUCUAAACUUUGGACUGCGUCUUUAUAAGUGGUAGGAACAUCAUCAGCGACAAUUGAGGCGGCACAAGCAACCGUCUCUAUAAGACGAACAGGUUUUGUUGUUGUCCUUUUUGACCUGCUGGUUGCUAUAGAUUCAAGUUGUUGAUGAGGUUCUUGAGUUGGAAUCUCCCUCUCUACUGGCUCUUCUUCCAGAGGAUAAUCUUCAUUUAUUUCCUCCUCUGCUUCUUAUGUAGGAAAAAUAAAUUUUCCCUCAAACUCCACCUGCUUAGAAGCACCCUCAUUUUGUUUGGUAUCUUCUGUUACCUUAUUUACCAUAGCAGAUUCAUCAAAGAUAACAUCCCUGCUGAAUAUUACUUUCUUUGUCAUAGGACACCAUAAGCGAUAUCCGUUGACUCCAGAAGUAAUCCCCAUAAAAUAGUCUUCUUUGCCCUUGUAUCCAAUUUUGACUGUGUCACAUGAUAAUAUGCAGUUGAGCCAAAUACGUGCAAACAGUCAUAAUCUACAACAGGCUUUCCAUACCAUUUUUCAAAUGGUGUCUUGUCAUCAAUAGCAGCAGAUGAUAAGCGAUUAAUGAGGUGGCAUGCAUAUGUAAUUGCCUCAGCCCAAAAUUCUUUGUCCAAGCCAGCAUUGGACAACAUACACCUACCUUUUCCAGC
rnacentral:lncRNA from 1 species